rnacentral:rRNA from 1 species
GAUGAACGCUGGCGGCGUGCCUAAUACAUGCAAGUCGAGCGAAUGAAUUAAGAGCUUGCUCUUAUGAAGUUAGCGGCGGACGGGUGAGUAACACGUGGGUAACCUGCCCAUAAGACUGGGAUAACUCCGGGAAACCGGGGCUAAUACCGGAUAACAUUUUGAACCGCAUGGUUCGAAAUUGAAGGGCGGCUUCGGCUGUCCCUUAUGGAUGGACGCGCGUCGCAUUAGCUAGUUGGUGAGGUAACGGCUCACCAAGGCAACGAUGCGUAGCCGACCUGAGAGGGUGAUCGGCCACACUGGGACUGCGACACGGCCCAGACUCCUACGGGAGGCAGCAGUAGGGAAUCUUCCGCAAUGGACGAAAGUCUGACGGAGCAACGCCGCGUGAGUGAUGAAGGCUUUCGGGUCGUAAAACUCUGUUGUUAGGGAAGAACAAGUGCUAGUUGAAUAAGCUGGCACCUUGACGGUACCUAACCAGAAAGCCACGGCUAACUACGUGCCAGCAGCCGCAGUAA